AUAUAAGUUAGGCCUUUUGGCUAAGAUCAAGUGUAGUAACUGUUCUUAUCAGUUUAAAUACUAGUUAGCACAUUGGUUUCAGUUUGGCUGUGGGGUCCUUCACUGAACAAUUC
rnacentral:snRNA from 1 species